rnacentral:rRNA from 1 species
UACGAAGGGGGCUAGCGUUGUUCGGAUUCAUUGGGCGUAAAGGGAGCGUAGGUGGCGUCGUAAGUCAGGUGUGAAAUCUCGGGGCUCAACCCCGAAACUGCACUUGAUACUGCGAUGCUUGAGUACUGGAGAGGAGAUUGGAAUUUACGGUGUAGCAGUGAAAUGCGUAGAUAUCGUAAGGAAGACCAGUGGCGAAGGCGAAUCUCUGGACAGUUACUGACACUGAGGCUCGAAGGCCAGGGGAGCAAACGGG